rnacentral:rRNA from 1 species
GAUGAACGCUGACAGAAUGCUUAACACAUGCAAGUCUUUGGCGAAGCUGUGCUUGCACAGCCUAGCCAAGGCGGACGGGUGAGUAACGCGUAAGGAACUUGCCCUGCAGUCAGGGAUAACAGACGGAAACGACUGAUAAGACCUGGUAAAGUCAGGCGGACUCAUGUCCAGCCUGAUGAAAAGAGAUGCUGCAGGAGAGCCUUGCGUCCUAUUAACUUGUUGGUGGGGUAACGGCCCACCAAGGCGAUGAUAGGUAGCCGGCCUGUGAGGGUGGACGGCCACAAGGGGACUGAGAUACGGCCCUUACUCCUACGGGAGGCAGCAGUGGGGAAUAGUGGACAAUGGGGGCAACCCUGAUCCAGCAAUUCUGUGUGCACGAUGAAGGUUUUCGGAUUGUAAAGUGCUUUCAGCAGGGAAGAAAAAAAUGACGGUACCUGCAGAAGAAGCGACGGCUAAAUACGUG